rnacentral:rRNA from 1 species
GACGAACGCUGGCGGCGUGCUUAACACAUGCAAGUCGAACGGAAAGUCCCUGCUUUUUUGGGGUCCUCGAGUUGCCAACGGGUGAGUAACCCGUGAGUAACCUGCCCCUGACUUUGGGAUAACUUCAUGCAACUUGGUCUAAUACCGCAUAGGAUCUCCUGCUUCUUGGUGGGGGUUGGAAAGUUUCGGCGGUUGGGGAUGGACGCGCGGCUUAUGAGCUUGUUGGUUGGGUAGUGGCUUACCAAGGAGUUGACGGGUAGCCGGCAGGAGAGGGUGACCGGCAACAUUGGGACGGGGAUAAGGCACAGACUACAACGGGAGGGAGCAGUGGGGAAUAGUGUACAAUGGGAGGAAGGCUGGUGCAGCAAAGCCGCGUGGGGGAUGAGGGGAAGGGGGUUGUAAACCGAUUUCGCCUGUGACGAAGCGUGAGUGACGGUAACGGGUAAAGAAGCACCGGCUAACUACGUG